GGAUGCGAUCAUACCAGCACUAAAGCAUCGGAUCCCAUCAGAACUCCGAAGUUAAGCGUGCUUGGGCGAGAGUAGUACUGGGAUGGGUGACCUCCUGGGAAGUCCUCGUGUUGCAUUCC
rnacentral:rRNA from 1 species